rnacentral:tRNA from 1 species
AGCUCUGAGGUGUAAUUACAUGUUAGAUUGCAAGUCUUAAGUAGCAGGCUAGUCGCCUGCCGGAGCUU